CCUACGGGUGGCAGCAGUGAGGAAUAUUGGUCAAUGGGCGCUAGCCUGAACCAGCCAAGUAGCGUGAAGGAUGACUGCCCUAUGGGUUGUAAACUUCUUUUAUAUGGGAAUAAAGUGCAGUAUGUAUACUGCUUUGCAUGUACCUUAUGAAUACGGAUCGGCUAACUCCGUGCCAGCAGCCGCGGUAAUACGGAGGAUCCGAGCGUUAUCCGGAUUGAUUGGGUUUAAAGGGAGCGUAGGCGGGUUGUUAAGUCAGUUGUGAAAGUUUGCGGCUCAACCGUAAAAUUGCAGUUGAUACUGGCAUCCUUGAGUACAGUAGAGGUAGGCGGAAUUCGUGGUGUAGCGGUGAAAUGCUUAGAUAUCACGAAGAACUCCGAUUGCGAAGGCAGCCUGCUGGACUGUAACUGACGCUGAUGCUCGAAAGUGUAGGUAGCAAACAGGAUUAGAUACCCUAGUAGUC
rnacentral:rRNA from 1 species